UGAACGGUUGAGGCGUUGGUCUGUAAAACCAAUUUAAGAAGGUUCAACUCCUUCCCCUUGGA
rnacentral:tRNA from 1 species